AAUCAGGUUCCUGUUUGUGGGGAGGAAUCGUCCACCUCACAGAUCCUUCUGAAUCUCUGUCCACUGAGCCACUGCAGUAACAACAUUGGAGUCUAGAUGGAACAAGUUAAAAAGGCAGAAGCAUCUAUUUUCCCCCUGGACAACAAGAGGACACAGAACAGAGAAGGAGACGAGACAUUUUGGCUUUCAGGGAACCAAAGCAGGUGUCCGUUCCUGCUUAUGUGUUCCUGAUGCCCAGCGCUUGCUCCAGCUCCUGUCUCCUCUGCUGGACCUGGAAUGAAUAAAACACAUCAGUUAUUUCAGGGGAAAACACAAAUAAAGCCUAUGUAUGUAAACCUAAAACCUAGUUAAGUCUUCAAAGUGAAGCCUGAGGAGACUUUUUUCAUAACUGCACUCUGAUAAGCUAUUCAGGUUCGAGCCCUAUUUGGAUGGUAUUAGCAGUCCAUGAAGAGGUGGAAUAAUGAGAUCUGUUACAGGUACUACCAAUUGAUUUUAUUUUCCUUGUUAUUUUCCUUCUUUCACCUUGAGAAAAUUCACACACUGUUGACUUGACUGACUCAAGGCCAGGCUAAAAUGUAGUCCUGCCUGAAUAAACACUACUUAU